AACAAGUCCAUGAGUCGGUGAGUGGAAGAAGUCCAGAUACGAUCUGCAUUUCUUCAUCAAGUCAUAGAGCAAGCAUUUAGGUGUGGUUAUGACUUGAGUGUGUGGAACAGUGGAAAUCUGCCUGUGAAACAGUAACAAGGUUAAUCCCGUCUGAUGUCUGUAACAUUCAGCAGCGCAGAUGUGCCCUUCUGUUCUCAGUAGAAAGAGGAGUGCUGUCAAGUCGAAAGAGGCACUAUCUGUCAAGUCGAGUUGGAGAAAAGUUUGCGUCCUUGGAUAAACUCCUAUUCUGAACGUGUGCUGCCCGUAUAAGAGGAUGAACGUGCAAGCUGCCUUCAAGGCGUUGUGACGUACAGUGUACACGUGUGGAUUCCUCAGCACCUCGUCUCUGAAGAAGCAACACAGAAUCGGGUCCUGUGCGUGUCUGGCACAACUCUCAGCACAGGAAUUACUCCAGCAGCUGCCACGGGCAAU
rnacentral:lncRNA from 1 species